CUACAAUGGCGUAAACAGAGGGAAGCGAGCCCGCGAGGGGGAGCGAAUCCCAAAAACAACGUCCCAGUUCGGAUUGUAGUCUGCAACCCGACUACAUGAAGCCGGAAUCGCUAGUAAUCGCAAAUCAGAAUGUUGCGGUGAAUACGUUCCCGGGCCUUGUACACACCGCCCGUCACACCACGGAAGUUGGGGGCGCCCGAAGCCACUUAGCUAACCCAUUUGGGAAGCGAGUGUCGAAGGUGAAAUCAAUAACUGGGGUGAAGUCGUAACAAGGUACC
rnacentral:rRNA from 1 species